ensembl:snoRNA
AUAUAGCACGGAAUCUAGAAGUUGGGAAAGAUUGUUAUCAAGUGUUAAUAAGAAUUAGUGUUGGGAUCUGGAAUCUUAGUGGGGUGCCUGAGGCCUGGCUCCCUACUGUAAGGCCAGAUCAAUAGCACAGCUGGCCCUGAAUGUAUUUCCGCUGCUGUCCCCAGUUCUGGCAGCUGCAUGCAGGGGGGCCGGCCCACAGGCGGGUGCCAAAGAAGAGGGAGGCACAUGCCCUCUGAGCACAACCUUGGAUCUGAAG